GGACAAGAAAGCAAACGAGAAGAAAUCCUGGCGAUCUGUCUCCAUGGUGUUUCCCCGACAAAAAAGGUAGCAGCUACCUCUAGAGAUGUUUUGCAAGAGAGGAGCGAGAAGAUGGACGUCUCUCCAAAGCAAAGCUUUGAGAAACGAGAUGGCGAUUCCUCUCGGUGCAACGGCGGCUGAAAUGGUUGAAGUGGCUGACAGAAAAUUACCGCCCUUUCAGCACAGUGCGAAGAAGCUACCAUGCACUCCUCAUGCAAGCGCUGGAAAUGGCGGCGAUCCCAAUCCGAACUGGCUACUCGACAACAAGUAUGUAUCACCAGGAGAUAGCUUCUGGGACGAGGCAAAACGCGUCCUUGGGAGCAAGAAGGGUGACUGCUCGGAAGUUAAGUCGCGUAUCAACCCUGACGGCCCGAAUUUAUUGAACUCUCCGCUACCGGUCGUGUGCUUCGACUUUGCGAGUCAUGACAACGUUGGCAAAGAAGCUGCUGCAGCUCCCACUGAAGAAGGAAAGGCAAUCGUGAACGAUCCGUCGUCCUCAGUCUCCCGUGAGAAGUUGUCCGAUUGGCUUCCGGCUGAAUUAUGUGAAGGAUAGAAGACUGUAUCAAUGGCAGGUUGAUUGUCUAUGCCUUGAUGGAGUUUUGGAUGGUGUUUACUGUGCCUCGACAAGUGCAGGAAAGAGUCUUGUUGCAGAAAUUUUAAUGUUAAAAAGAGUGCUGGCGACAGGGAAAAUGGCAAUGCUGGUUUUACCAUAUGUUCCUCCAGAUACUUCACUUGCAGUUCGUAGCAUCAAGAAGCGAACUCACUCAUCAAUAAGGUGGUAGAGGACGGGCGGCUGUCCGAACUAGCAGUCGUAGUUAUAGAUGAGCUUCAUAUGGUUGGAGAUAAAGAGAGAGGUUAAAGCUACGACAUGGGGCCGGUAAAGGUGACUAUGAAAGCAGCAGCCCCACUGCAGCGAUGCCUAAUGUAGCAGCUGUUGCAUCAUGGCUUCAGGCUGCAUUUUAUGAGACUAACUUUCGCCCGGUUCCUUUAGACGAACACAUUAAAGUCAUUUACGAUACUAGUGUUCGUGCUCUAAGAGCAGGCUCUGAACUUAGCGGCAAGGAUCCAGAUCACAUCGUCCAUCUGUGGCAUGAGGUUACUUUUGUGUUUUGACAAAGACCUUUCAUAGGUCUUACUGA